AGGAGUGUGAAGAGCUUUCAUCAUCCAUAAAAUGGAGCAAAGCAAUGAGUUUGUUUGAAAAUGAUGAGCGCUUUAAAGCUGUUGACCGUUCAAGGGAUCGUGAAGAUCUUUUUGACAAUUAUAUUGUGGAACUUGAGAGGAAGG